UAAUACAGAGGUCUCAAGCGUUGUUCGGAUUCAUUGGGCGUAAAGGGCGCGUAGGCGGUGGGGUAAGUCUGGUGUGAAAUCUCGGAGCUCAACUUCGAAAUUGCACUGGAUACUGCUCUGCUAGAGGGCUGGAGAGGAGAUCGGAAUUCACGGUGUAGCAGUGAAAUGCGUAGAUAUCGUGAGGAAGACCAGUGGCGAAGGCGGAUCUCUGGACAGCUCCUGACGCUGAGGCGCGAAGGCUAGGGGAGCAAACGGGAUUAGAUACCCCGGUAGUCCUAGCAGUAAACGGUGCACGUUUGGUGUGCGCGGAUUCGACCCCGUGCGUGCCGGAGCUAACGCGUUAAACGUGCCGCCUGAAGAGUACGGUCGCAAGAUUAAAACUCAAAGAAAUUGACGGGGGCCCGCACAAGCGGUGGGAGUAUGUGGCUUAAUUCGAUGCAACCGCGAAGAACCUUACCUGCCUUGACAUUCAUUGUUUCGUCCGGUGAAAGCCGCUANCGUAUCA
rnacentral:rRNA from 1 species